CGCACCUUGCGCCCUUUGGUAUUCCGAUGGGCAUGCCUGUUUGAGUGUCUUGAAAUCAUCAAGCGACCUGCGUUUUGCGACGUGGGGAGCUUGGAGUUGGGAGCUGCAGCCCUCGUCGGGCGGCUCUCCCCAAAUGCAUCGGUGUGGACCGUGCGGUCGCAAGUCUUUGAAGGGCGUUGUAUCAUCCUCGCUCCGAAAGGCGCUUGAGCGUGCCGUGUUGGACCCGCCUCGACUUAGCCUUCAGAGUGGCGGUCACUUUCUUGACUUCUGACCUCAAAUCAGGUAGGACUACCCGCUGAACUUAA
rnacentral:misc_RNA from 1 species